UACGUAGGGUGCAAGCGUUGUCCGGAAUUAUUGGGCGUAAAGAGCUCGUAGGCGGUUUGUCACGUCGGAUGUGAAACCCCGGGGCUCAACCCCGGGCCUGCAUUCGAUACGGGCAGACUAGAGUUCGGCAGGGGAGACUGGAAUUCCUGGUGUAGCGGUGAAAUGCGCAGAUAUCAGGAGGAACACCGGUGGCGAAGGCGGGUUGCUGGGCCGACACUGACGCUGAUGCGCGAAAGCCAGGGGAGCGAACGGG
rnacentral:rRNA from 1 species